CGGAUUGUAGCUUAUAUUAAAGUUUAUUAUUUACAUUAAUACGAAAAAUAUAUAUAUAUUUCCUUCUGA
rnacentral:tRNA from 1 species